GCAGCCCGUCCUCGCUAAGGAAACGACGAGUCAGACAGAGGGCCUUUUGCUCGGAAAGGCAGAAGGCAGACACUUUCCGAGGUCCGGACGCAAGCCGAUCCCCCAUCCCCCGAGGGAGGCGAAGGGUGCCCCAUGGGUGGCUGAGGGGACGCCCGGCCCGCGAGGGACAACCCGAGGAGGAGCAGUUUCAUCUGAUUAACACCUGAGUCUCGUCCAGUGUGACAUUCUUCAGAAUUCAUCCUGGAAUCAAUAUUAUGCCAAAGAAAAUUUUCUGAAAGCUACACAGAUCAUACCACUGCAACUCAGCCAACCAGCACAUCGGACAGUGGGAGGAGGAAUUCUUGGCUAAGAGUACUGAGAGAUGGGGUUUCACCAUGUUAACCAGGAUGGUCUCAAUCUCCUGACCGCGUGAUCCACCUGCCUCAGCCUCCCAAAGUGCUGGGAUUACAGGCGUGAGCCACCAUGCCUGGCCAAAAUUCUGUAUGUCUUUCUAAUCUCACUUCCUAAUGGAGAUAAAAUAGAUCUCAGGCUUAUGUAUUUUUCUAGAACAUUAAAAUCUUGUUUUUUGUGUA